CUUUGUUAUUAUGAAUAUUAAUAAAUUAAUAUGAGGUGUGUUUUUAUCAACUUAACCACUUGGUUGUUUUUGCUUCAGAAAAGCAACUAGUUAUAAAUGUAAGGGCUUUUUUGGACAACUUCGGUGAAAAAGUGUUGAUUUCGUAGUUCAGUCAGCGUAACUUAUAUCCGAGAGGUCUUACAGGCGCCACAGACACCUUAUCAGCCUUUUGUAAGGAGGAGCAGCUCGAGUGCGGUCAGUGUUAAGCUGCUUAGUUUCUCAAAUUCAUAUUACUGAUAAAGUGUUAAAACUUAGAUGAGAUGUUGGUGUUUUAUGGCUCACGAAUUCGCAAUAACGGAUACGUAUAGCAGUUCGUGUUAAUGACAUUAAUCCAAACUUAUUGAUGACGUGAUAACAUGGGCGUCGAAUCCAAUAUUAAUCAUGCUGAGGUUUUCUCGACGGGGUAAUGUGUAUAAAUGCAGUUAUAAAAUUAAAAGGGACAAGAUUGUCGACGUGACCCUCAUGUUUCCAUGGCAAUCAGUCAAUUACAUGUUACGCUUAUGAUCGCACGUGCGGUCAUUCGCGCAGUAUCCAUGAUUUUAAGCGGCAUGAAACACUUAGGUUAACUCCUUUGUACGAAAAUAUCAUGUCGUGUAAGUUGGCAUGUUCUAUUCGAAUUGAAAUACAUUGUAACGGUGUAAUUUUGCUUACUUGUUGAAUAGUUAGCAAGUUUUAAUGGAAAUAGAAAAUAUUGGUUAUCUAGACAAAUGUGCUCUUGUUUUUAGUAUAUUUAGUAUAACUCUUUUGUAAUGUCUUCGUUAUCAGAGCCCUUCAAAUUAGAAUAGUGAUGAUGAUCUUGUCAAUGCUGAGAUUUUCAUGCAUCAACAGCCACUACAUCUGGAUCAGAUUGAACAAGAAAUAGACAGCAAGGGUUGUCAGGUCAGAAACAGAAUGACACACGAACACAAGAAACCUCACAGGCAGAUCAACAUGCAAUUUGAAGACGUGUGAUAAAAUACAGAGAGGUGAAGUAGUGUGUCUUUCCAGAUCCCCAAAUCAUUCCCCCUUAAAAGGCCUGAAGAGGAGAUUUGGGAAGAUGCUGUUUCAUAAGUCGCUUUGCCAGAUCACCUGUGAUGCUGUCAUCGUAUUAAGUACAGCAUGAGCCAGAAUAGAUGGGUGGUGGUGGCCAUAAGAAGACUGUCAACUAAACCAACAACAAAAUUCAUAUUUGCAGUUUUUCUUGAAUAAAGUUUUUCUAUUC